rnacentral:antisense_RNA from 3 species
CUUCAGGGAACCGAGCCACAGCGGCUGUUCCCGUUCCCGGUCCCGGCCGUAGGUCGCCAGCAGUGCCUCGGCCUC